CAUUUAUGUGAUGUAUCCACUCUAACAGGAUUUCCAGAAGGACAUAGUUAGAGCAGCUGAAGGUUUGGUGUCUAUUGGAAACAAACAUAUUGAAGUGGGAACAAAAUUUUCUGAGGACUGCUAUAGAUAUGGAAGCGAAAAUAAUGCAAGCGACGAAGCCCUUAGAAAAGCAGCAUCACUAUACGGAGGUGCUUUGAGAAAUAUUGAGAAAGAGUAUGAAGAUUUCAACAGAAUUUUAUCUUCUCAGACUAUAGACCCAUUGAGAGCAAUGGCUAUAGCAGGA